rnacentral:lncRNA from 12 species
AUGUGAACUGAUCAUGGAAAAUAAAAAACAAACCUUGGAGUCAACAGAGUCCUUGCCACUUCCUGAGGCCCUGACCUCUAGUGUCAUGUGGUCAAUGUUACAUUCUUUAUUUUCUUUAAUUAUUGGUUUUCACAUGAUAGGUGAGUGUGCAGGACGGCUGUCAGAAGAUGCAUUUAUAAGCUGUUAUGUGAAAGGGUUUUGAAAUAUAUCAAAUGCAUCAUAAGGCAAGAAUUCACACAGCAAGUCUUGUGGCUAAUCCUUUGCUUUGAGCGGCUGAAGAGCCUUGGAGGGGCAUCGCAGCAAGUAUCCCUCCCUGGGCACCAGACACAGAGAACCGACUGACUUUUGUGAUGAACUUUCCAAACGAGCUGUUGCUACAGCCGACCAACCGGCAAGCCGGCCGAGGGACCCGACUACUUCCCCUGGGCCCGACGACAGAAUAGAUUUGUCGCAAGCAAACUGUAAGUGGGCUGCCAUCAUCAAAGAAAUCAGCAGCCCGUCUCCCUGGGAGACUGCAACCCCCCACAUUUAUCUAAAUUAUCUCGGUAAUAUGACAGAGUGAUUGCUCACUAAUGGUCAAUAACAGUUUUCUUUGUCAUUUUCCUAGUCAUUACCUCCUGAGAAUGAACUCCCGAGUACACUGCUUGCAGCCCGUGACUGGAAUGUUAAUUUCGUCCUGCGUCCCCGGCUGGCUCCCUUCAACGGUACUGGGCUCUCGCAUUUCUGACAUUUUUCGUUUUGUAAAAAUGAAUACCUGCCUUAGAAAGCCUGAUGAACGCAGAGAUACUUUACAUGCAAACACACACACACACACACACACACACACACACACACACAAAUGCUGUUCCCAUUUCCCCCUGUCUUUCAUCUGACAAAGCGGGUAGUGACUGCGAGCUCAGAAUUGGCUGGCGGAGGUGUCUGCUGGUGUGUGGGCUCCAUUUCUGGGGCUUUAUCAAGCCCUGUCUCCGAUUUUCCCAUUUCAGACAAUCUUCCUUUGAAGACGUGGAUGACAUAGUAAAACCGAUUGCACUUGAGAGCCGAUUCCAUGACUAUUUUGCUGCAACAGCGCGAAUGUCAUCACUCUUUCUUAUGCAAAGAUUGUGUCCAGAUCCAUGA